GAUUGGCUCAGAUUGAACGCUGGCGGCAGGCUUAACACAUGCAAGUCGAACGGUAACAUAAAGAAGCUUGCUUCUUUGAUGACGAGUGGCGGACGGGUGAGUAAUGCUUGGGAAUCUAGCUUAUGGAGGGGGAUAACUACGGGAAACUGUAGCUAAUACCGCGUAAUAUCGAAAGAUUAGAGUGUGGGACCUUCGGGCCACAUGCCAUAAGAUGAGCCCAAGUGGGAUUAGGUAGUUGGUGAGGUAAAGG
rnacentral:rRNA from 1 species